rfam:Stegodyphus mimosarum contig53689, whole genome shotgun sequence.
GCCUUCGUGGUGUAGCGGCCAGCACGCUCGCCUUCUAUUCGAGAGGUCCGUGGUUCGAAUCCCGGCGAGGGCA